rnacentral:piRNA from 1 species
UGCAAGGUGAGCGUUAGGACUCAGCAGC